UUUUUUUUUUUUUUUUGGUGGUAGGAAUGAACCCACGGUUUUCUUUUUUAAAAGUCCGUUUCCUCCUUCUGAGGUCGAAAGGCGUCCCGCCGUGGCCCAGAAUCCUCUGGGCGGCGUGGCGCGUUGGGCGUAUUUCCGGUCGCCUGUGCCCGGAUCGGCAGGGCUAGGCGCGAGCUCCCGGAAACCUCUUCACCUUACGUCUGCCUUGGUGGAGGCUUCCUCCAAUGCCUAGUUUUUCCUCUGCAAAUAGUAACUAGUAGUUCUGUGGCAUCUCCUGAUUGUAGAAUAUUGCUUCGACCCCCAGGAAUUACUUUAUAAAUUGUAGCGUUUUCAUAUACCCAAAGGUUUUGGUUGAAGCUGUUACCUCCCAAUAAUAACUGGGUCUUUCCAGGUAAAUUAGGUCCUAUUUUGGCAACUCCCAAUGCAGAACAUCAAUACUCUCCAUUCUCCAUCCCAGAGGGCCAAAAGGAAAACAUCUUAUUUGAAGAUAGAAGUUUCAUUUGCUGAAGUUUGUAGCUGGUCAAGCUGAAAGCAAGAGGGAGUGGAGGUGUAGUUCAAUGGGAAGGGAACUAUGUUAUGGACCACUGUGUUUCCUUGAAAACUUGAGAGAAAUGAAUGGUUGGGGGAAAGUUCAAGGAUGAGACUACUGAGAGACUCGCAUCUGCAGCAAAAUGGAGUUUCUUCAAAUUAGACAUCAGGAGAAGCAACAGAGAAGAGCAACUGGCAACUGGAGAUGCCAGACCUGCAUCAUGGCCUGCAGACUUUCCCUGAUGACUCCUGCUCUGUUUCCCCUUUGUCCUUUAACAACAGGGGACUGAACUCCGGUCCUUGUGCUUACAAGACAGGCCACCGAACCACUGAGCUAAAUCCCCAGCCCUGUAUUAUUAAUUGAAGAAAGCAAGAGGUAGAGUAUUAAGGCCCACAGCAGAUUAUAAGCCACGGAUUCAAAGGGAGAGAGGACAGUCACCCUCUUCAGCUGACAUUUUAAUUCUGCAAUUCAUUUUGCGUGGAAACUACCUUCCUCUAUGACUGACCUCAUCCGAUCGUGCAAGAACUCUAGGGGUAAGCCAGGCCCCUAUUUAUUUAUGCUUCUACACCAAGAUGUAUACUGUACCAUUUAUGUUUAUGUUGUGUUACUGUACUGGGUAUAAUAAGAAGGACACUGAUACACAUUAGUAGUCCUGUGUACAAAUCUGAUCCCACCAUUCAUAACUGUCCCCACAAGACUGAGAAUUAUUUAAGGACAUAUGUCUUAGUUCUGUUUGAAUUUUUCCAUAACCCAUGCCCCUACUCCA